ensembl:lncRNA CLCA4-AS1 CLCA4 antisense RNA 1
AUUUUAUUAUGAAAUAAUAUAAAUAUAUAUCCACACAUUCACACUGAUACAGAAUUAUACAUACAGAGAAAGAUUGGGGAGAGGAAAAGGACUGGGAAGGUAAAGAGGAAAGUUCAUAUUUAAUCCCAUAUACUGAAAAUCUGCCUUUGUGUUUUACAACAGGAAUGUAUACGUUGUAUAAAAGGCAGAGAAAAGGAGAAAAAACAGUCUCUUCUCCAAUAUGUGUAAGGAAUCUAAUUUUAGGUAGUAUUUCUGGUUUAAUGAUUGAUAUAAUGGGCAAAUCUGCUUUCUAUUUCGGAUGAGAAACAAAGCAAAACAAAACACCCUAGCUUUUGACAUAAUCUGCAUGCCUUGCCAUAGAUGUUAGCCAACAAACCAAAACUUCUCCUCACCUCAAAAUGACAUAAUUUCUUUCCUAUUACACUUAAGAUCCUGGAAUCAUGUAGUUCACUGCAUUCUUCAAUCUUGAAUAAAAGUGCUAGACUACUGGCAAUGCUAUUCUCUUUCAAAGAGCUUCUUUCCCAUUAUGCCCAUGUUUUUACUUUGAGGACUGAAUGCUCAUUCCACUUUAAAAUAAAGCUUAACUAUAAUUUUAUUUUAUACUUUAGUUACUGAUAUUACCUUGUGACUUGAGAUGAAGACUAAAAGGAAAAGUAAAAUAACAGUUUGGCUCACAUUGUUGGAAUUUAAGUUAAUAUGACUCAUACUAGCAAUUAGCUUCUUGUCCUGAAAGGUAAAUAUCAGUGUAUUUACUGACGCUUUGAGGUAUGGGAGUAAGGAGACAACGCCACCAAAUUAUGUGGUAUAAGUUUAAGCUCUUAAGUUACCAAGGAAAAACUUAAAAGGAUCCACUUGCCAGUUACUUACCAAUAUGAUCAUCUAACAAACACCUAUUAUGAGCAACCCCUAUGCUAAGUUCCAUGAAGGACAGCAAUAUAAGAUAUAAUCUUUUUUUUGUUAAACGAUGUGCAUACGUGAGAUAAUAUGGAAAGUUGAAUCUAAGAAAGCCUGGCUUGGGAGGUAUUCAAGUGGUCGUGGUAGAGUUAAAGAUACCCAGAAGUCUUCUAAGAAGCACAAAACAUGAUUCCUGUACUCAGAGACAUGCAGUCCUAUUCACAUGCAAAGAGGACCUACACUGGCUAUUGCCAAGUAUCAAGCGAGGUGAGUGCUAUCAUAAGUCACAGAAUGGAUACAUUAUUUGAGUAGUCAGAUAAAUCUCACAGCAUGAGGCAUAAGAUGUCUAAUAAUGUCUAGAAAGCAAUUGGAAAUAUGUGAUUAAAGCUUGGGAAUGAACACUGGGUUAAAGAUAGACACUUUGGAGUCAUUUGCAUGGCUGUGAUAAAUAAGAUUUGAAAUAGAAGAUAAACAGAAUGAAAAGUAAAGGAAGAUUAAAAUCUGAAGAAAACAGCAAGACACUGUAAAAAUAAAGACAGUUAUAGAACUGACAUGUUCACAAAUAUUAAGCAAAACAAGAGUUAACUAAGUGGACUGCAUUCAAAAAGUUUAAGUAAUCUUUUUAACUUUUGCUUGGAAUAUUGCUGAUCCUUGUUUUGUUUUUCAGAGUCAAGGAAACUUAUUUUAAACUAUUAAUGGCCAUUAAUAAUUGAGUAAGGUAUACUACUGUAAACAAAAUUUGGAGCAUGUUCAUUUAUCUCCACCUGGUUCCUCUAAAAUUUGGAGACUACCUGUAAGUACUCUUAACUUAUGGCAGUAUAGUUGUUUGCAUCAGUGCAAUAAGAAUGCAUUUUUCUUUGUCAACAGGACACAAUUGGAUAAACUGGUUAUUUUACCAAGGCUUUGGCUGAAAUGGUGUGUUUCCCUUUAAGGAAUCAAGCUUGACAUGCAGAGCCAAUAAAAGCCCCUUGGAGAACUGGCCUCAUACCUUGUCUAUACAGUCCCCGCACAGGGUUCCUAACCUGUAGUCAAUAAAGAAUGUCACUUUCUAACAGGUCUGGAAGCUCGGAGUUUCUCUUGGGACCUCAAGAAGUGAGGAUCACCCAACUCACAGAAGCAAUCAAACUCCAAAUGGUGCUGCAAACUGAACCCCACAUGGACACGCCAUUCUUCUGAGGACCCUUAGAUCCACCCCAGGAGGAGCCCUAGCUGCUGUUCCCCAUUCGAUGCCCCUUUUCAGCCGAGGUGAUAACUGGAAGAGAGCAGAAAGGGAGCAUCUGGGAUACUGCUCUAAGAGCAGGACUGCCAUAUGAGGAUGCAGAGACUGUGCCUUGUGAAACUCCAGGGGCACCAUUCAUACAAGCCAACUGGACUCCAAGUGCCACGAGAACAGAGAUUGGGUCUGGUCCCCAGCUUCAGUGCCUCCAAGGCAGAAACUCAAGAGACGUUGUUGAACUGUCAGCCUUUACAUUUAUGCAUUACUAUUGAAGGCCUGGAAUAAAUGGAUC